rnacentral:rRNA from 1 species
UGGGGAAUCUUGGACAAUGGGCGCAAGCCUGAUCCAGCCAUGCCGCGUGAGUGAAGAAGGCCUUCGGGUUGUAAAGCUCUUUUACCAGGGACGAUAAUGACGGUACCUGGAGAAUAAGCCCCGGCAAACUUCGUGCCAGCAGCCGCGGUAAUACGAAGGGGGCUAGCGUUGUUCGGAAUUACUGGGCGUAAAGCGCACGUAGGCGGAUUGUUAAGUCAGAGGUGAAAUCCCGGAGCUCAACUUCGGAACUGCCUUUGAUACUGGCAAUCUCGAGUCCGGAAGAGGUUAGUGGAAUUCCCAGUGUAGAGGUGAAAUUCGUAGAUAUUGGGAAGAACACCAGUGGCGAAGGCGGCUAACUGGUCCGGUACUGACGCUGAGGUGCGAAAGCGUGGGGAGCAAACAGGAUUAGAUACCCGCGUAGUCCCUGAGCGGGCUGGCAAGGCGCAU